rnacentral:misc_RNA from 1 species
CUCAUUCUUAAUAUCUUGUCAAAGACUUAAGCGUUGGCGGUUCUAAGUUUUCCACUAUUAUUGGAGGAGAGAAUAUCUUCUUCUUCUUUUUUUCUUAGAAAAUUAUUGGUUCCUGUAAUGACCAAAUUAUCCUUUGUGAUCAGGUGUACCGAAGAGCAGAUGAAGAAACAUGGAAUUCAUCUUCUAGCACUUUCUCAUGUGUACUUG